rnacentral:rRNA from 1 species
CCUACGGGAGGCAGCAGUGGGGAAUAUUGCACAAUGGGGGAAACCCUGAUGCAGCGACGCCGCGUGAGUGAAGAAGUAUUUCGGUAUGUAAAGUUCUAUUAGCAGGGAAGAAGAAAGACGGUACCUGACUAAGAAGCCCCGGCUAACUACGUGCCAGCAGCCGCGGGAAUACGUAGGGGGCAAGCGUUAUCCGGAUUUACUGGGUGUAAAGGGAGCGUAGACGGCUGUGCAAGUCUGAAGUGAAAGCCCAGGGCUCAACCCUGGGACUGCUUUGGAAACUGUGGAGCUAGAGUGCUGGAGAGGUAAGUGGAAUUCCUAGUGUAGCGGUGAAAUGCGUAGAUAUUAGGAGGAACACCAGUGGCGAAGGCGGCUUACUGGACAGUAACUGACGUUGAGGCUCGAAAGCGUGGGGAGCAAACAGGAUUAGAUACCCGAGUAGUC